rnacentral:tRNA from 1 species
ACCUGGGUGGCUCAGUCGGUGAAGCAUCUGACUUCGGCUCAGGUGAUGAUCUCGAGGUUUGUGAGUUCGAACCCCACGUCAGGCU